rnacentral:snRNA from 1 species
AGGAUUAAAAACACUUGUUGCCUUCCUUCUGAA